rnacentral:rRNA from 1 species
GGAUAACCUGCCCUAAGGAAGGGGAUACCCCCGGGAAACUGGGGAUAAUACCCUAUAGGUUACAGAUGCUGGAAUGCUCUGUACCCGAAAGUUCCGGCGCCUUAGGAUGGAUCUGCGGCCGAUUAGGUUGUUGUCGGGGUAACGGCCCAACAAGCCAGUAAUCGGUACGGGUUGUGGGAGCAAGAGCCCGGAGUUGGAUUCUGAGACACGAAUCCAGGCCCUACGGGGCGCAGCAGGCGCGAAAACUUUACAAUGCGGGCAACCGUGAUAAGGGAACCUCGAGUGCCUGUAUAUGCAGGCUGUCUGGGUGUCUAAAACACACCUAAAGAAAGGGCCGGGCAAGACCGGUGCCAGCCGCCGCGGUAAUACCGGCGGCUCGAGUGGUGGCCACUUUUAUUGGGCUUAAAGCGUUCGUAGCUGGGUUAUUAAGUCCCUUGGGAAAUCCGACGGCUUAACCGUCGGGCGUCUAAGGGAUACUGGCAAUCUUGGAACCGGGAGAGGUGAGGGGUACUUCGGGGGUAGGAGUGAAAUCCUGUAAUCCUCGAGGGACCACCUGUGGCGAAGGCGCCUCACCAGAACGGCUUCGACAGUGAGGGACGAAAGCUGGGGGAGCAAACCGGAUUAGAUACCCGGGUAGUCCCAGCCGUAAACGAUGUGCGUUAGGUGUAUCGGUGACCACGAGUCACCGAGGUGCCGAAGGGAAACCGUGAAACGUACCGCCUGGGAAGUACGGUCGCAAGGCUGAAACUUAA